CCUACGGGAGGCAGCAGUAGGGAAUCUUCCACAAUGGGCGAAAGCCUGAUGGAGCAACGCCGCGUGGGUGAAGAAGGUCUUCGGAUCGUAAAACCCUGUUGUUAGAGAAGAAAGUGCGUGAGAGUAACUGUUCACGUUUCGACGGUAUCUAACCAGAAAGCCACGGCUCACUACGUCCCAGCAGCCGCGGUAAUACGUAGGUGGCAAGCGUUAUCCGGAUUUAUUGGGCGUAAAGGGAACGCAGGCGGGCUUUUAAGUCUGAUGUGAAAGCCUUCGGCUUAACCGGAGUAGUGCAUUGGAAACUGGGAGACUUGAGUGCAGAAGAGGAGCGUGGAACGCCAUGUGUAGCGGUGAAAUGCGUAGAUAUAUGGAAGAACACCAGUGGCGAAAGCGGCUGUCUGGUCUGUAACUGACGCUGAGGUUCGAAAGCGUGGGUAGCAAACAGGAUUAGAUACCCUUGUAGUC
rnacentral:rRNA from 1 species